rnacentral:lncRNA from 1 species
GCAUUGUCAUUCUUUAAAUAUGCAAGGUAGUUUGGGCUGGUUGGUCCGAAUGAAUCUGGAGUUGGAAAGCACUGCAAGAUGGAGGGCGGGCACUGUCAGCUGUACAUUUCGGGGGUUUGUAGAUCCGCCCAGCCUGGAUGUCAGCAGCCACAGCCCUCUCUGUGUGACAGCCAAGGGGUCUCCACACGUUGCCAGAUGACCCUGAGAGAUCUCUGCCUUGGCUCCCUGCGCAACCCUGGAUGGAGGCACAGCGUCCUGGCUCUGAAUUUGCCCAGCUGUGUCAUCCCCCUUAAGACUGAUGACCCCAAGAUAAGAGUAGCUGAAGUAAUCUGCAGGGUUUGCAAGGACAUCUGACCACAGCCUUUACAAUGCACAAUUCCAGACCCCCUGGAAUGUCUCCAGCCUUUGUCCUAAGCCUGCAGUCACCUUGGAUUCCAGAAAAAGCACAGCAUCUCCGACCACCGGACGGCGAGGUCACCCCCAAGAAGGACACUCACUGAUGGUGGGAGUGGGGCUGCCCUCAUGGGAAGCCACUGUGGGAACAGAAUGAUCCCUGGCUCUCCUGGACCUCCCAGCAGUGCUCCUGGGCACCCAUGGGUCAGCCCAUGGCUUCGCCAGGAUGGCCUGAACUGACAGUGAUGCUUACCUUGGUUCCCCUUUUCUAGCAAAGCCCAAAGCUUUUUCCAGCCCCUCACAGAUAGAUGGUGGUGCUUUCUGUCUUGGCUGUACUGAUUCAAAUUCCCUUUCCUGCCCUAACCAGCACUUCUCUCCUCAGUUGGCUGUGGGGCAGGUGCCUGUGGCAGACCCCAGAGCUGGGGUUUUUGCUCUGAAACUUCAGCAAUAAAGGUCCUCAAUGAA